rnacentral:rRNA from 1 species
GGUGAACGCUAGCGGCGGGCCUAACACAUGCAAGUCGUGCGGUCCUGGGGCAACCCAGGAUAGCGGCGGACGGGUGCGUAACACGUAGGUAACCUGCCCUCUGGCGGGGGAUAACUCCGGGAAACUGGAGCUAAUACCCCAUAAAGCAAGGGCACCGCAUGGUGGGCUUGCUAAAGCCGAGAGGCGCCAGAGGAGGGGCCUGCGGCCGAUUAGCUAGUUGGUAGGGUAACGGCCUACCAAGGCGAUGAUCGGUAGCUGGUCUGAGAGGACGGCCAGC